rnacentral:lncRNA from 1 species
ACCAAAUAGACACCAUGUUCCCACUUCCCAGUAUAGUGGGAAAUGCGUUAAUCAGCUUCACAAAUGAGUGCCAGCCAAACAGUGUGUAUAAAGCUGGCAAUCUCCAGUUCUCAGGUUGGAGACUUGCUGAAGGGUGAUAUUUGAACCAUUGGUGUAGUCUAGGAGGAAGAGUCAAGGCUGAAGUAAAAAAAAAAAAAAUGAUGCUUUUGCCUAAAAUGGUAAUUGCUUCAUUAAUAAAAAAAUGUACUAAGUGCUAGACGUUGUUUGGAGCAUUUAAAAUGAAUGAAUUGACUUCCUUAAAGAUCUUAGGAAAUUUGUGUACUGCUAGUACUUACAUUUUAUGAGGCAGAUAGGUCUGAAGAGUUUCUUGAAUGCACAGCAUUAAAGUCGCUAGGUUAACCUGUACCUGGUAAGAUUAGGUGAAUAAGAUACUGGUGAUUUUCUAGAGAUGCACUAUCGUAGAUUCUUCAUCUCUGAAGUGGGGGUGUUAGGGGUUGCUCUGAAGUAUGCUAUUUUUAAACGAUGUGUAAACAUUUGCAUCGUUUCUUAGAAUGCCUAAUCCCGCCAAGUUCAGUGGAGUAGAAAGAGAAGAGGCUGGAAGCUGGGCACGCAGGGCCUUGUGGCCAUGUCGAAGAUCGAGAUUACUGCUGUGAAAAGUUACGGAAGCGUCAGAACAGAAGUAACACGAUCCAGUGUGAAUGCAGAGGAGAUCAUGGAUUGAUGAAGGGGACCAGGAGGAGUGCAUAGUGAAGCCAUUAGGUCCCAAGGAGAGGCGUUGGGUAAUUAUGCCUGUGUGGUAGCAAUGCUGGAAAGACACGGUGAUCCCAUUUGAAAUGUUCCUUUUAGGAACUUUCAACAAGAACACAAAAGGCUGUUCUGUACCCCAGUCAGAGCUUCUGUUGUUUCUUAAAUGAUACAAAGGUAGCUCAAGCAGACUGCUUACAGUAGAGAAAAAAUGACUAACGUUAGCCCUUACUAACAUAAAAUAGAUUGUAGAAACCAAAUCAUUUCUAAAACUCAUGACACUACCAAAGAGAUAAAGUGCGUUGAUUUUUUUAAACAAAGCUUUCUAUUUUUAAAUGUAAACUUCAUGAAAGGAAGAUGUAAAGUUAAAAUAAAAUCCCAGAAAAGACUAGAUGGGUGUAACCCAUUCUUGAUCUACUUGUACAAGAUGUCCAAGCUUGAAGCUACCCCUGUGUUUGCAGAGUUCCACACUCCACUUCCUGUCCCCUUCUGGUCAGCUGAUUGGGCCCAAGUGGAGCAAAUGUAGGUAGGUAUUGGGAAUGGUGAUAAUUUGCAUAUUGGAAGAAAAGAAACUGUGAAAAUGGCAGUCUAGUAAAUUACCUUAUUCUAAAAUGGACUUUCUUUUAAUCUCUGAAACAAGGCUGUAUCCUGUCAAAUAAACUUGACUUUGUCUCAAUUAAUGGAAAACAUAAAUAUGAAUUGCCAAGCCUGGUCCCCGGUUACCAACUCUGGUGUGCAAUGUAGUCCUUAACUUGCCAGCCCUAAAAGUUACAGGCAAGAGCACUCUUGAGAACCACUAAUCUGCAUGACUUCCUAGUGAUGUUCCAGGUAGCUGUGGAAGCCCCCGUGCACCACACAUCCCUCGCAUCCCUCCCCACACUGCCUUGCUGAAGCAGUCUAUGAGUCUGUCUCCUACCUGUGUUUUAUACCUUAACUAAGGCAUGUAAUUAAAGUUGUGGGUUUGUUUUUUUUUUUACUAUGCUCUGAACUUUUCUCUCCUUUUUUGUGUUUCCCCUAUAUUCAUAUUUUUUAGGCAUUUACAUAAUAAAUGUACGAAAAUGCAAUUUUUCUUAUGACACUAGGAUAACUUUUAUAAACCCAGAAUCUUGUUUCCUCAGUGUCUCACAGAAAUUACUUAGCCUUCUCUCACUCUGUUAAUCAUGCUAGUUUUGCCUGUGCUAUGGAAACAGUUACACAACCUCAGCCUUUACUCUUUGCAAGCUGUUUCCUUUCUUUGCUCAUGAUAACAUGUCCAGAGACGCAAAGGAGGAGGAGGGAAGCUCUGUGACUGGUUGUCGCUCACAGACAUGGGCUGGUGGAUGUAGCUUCUCCGUCUUCAGAGUGGGAAAGAAAGCUGGUGGGUAGCAUUGACUUCAAGCUCCCACCCUGCAGAAGCCAUGUUACUGCCAUUCAGUCUAAGUCUGCACGUUCUAGCUUCCAGCUGACCAGGGAAGCUUGCUUUUACAAUUUCUCCAGGAGAGGAGGGAUUUUUUGGUUGGUUGGUUUGUUGGUGGGGUUUUGGUUUUUUGUUUGUUUGGUUUUGUUGUUGUUAUUGUUUUGGUGACUUCUGCAGUAUUGGGCAUCUGUUUCUUUUAUUUCCUUAAAGGUGUUAACAGUUCUUUAUCUUGUGUGAAAAGCCCUUUGUUGUUACUGUUGCUUUCCCUUGUCGCUGAUUUGCAUGUUUUCCCCAGGCAAUGUGUAUUCUUCCCAUGACCAUUCUGACCAUCUACAUUGCCAUUUGUGUUGCAUAUGUAUAGGGUCUUGCUCUGGAGUUCAGGGUGUGCUGCCACAGCCUCCCAGGUACUGGCAUCCUAAGCCUAUAUAACCUAUAUCUGGCUGCAAAUGUACUUUUUUGAUAUCUCUUAUUUGUACACCUCAUGCUGUAUUUUCCAUAGCAGAAUUUUUUAGUUUUUGUAUAUUAAUUUGUCUUUUCAAUCUUGGCUAACUUGAGGGAGUACACAUAGGCAAAUUUUCACAAGAUUUUUAAAUUGUUAGUAAUGAAACCGGAGUUUAUUUCUGUAUAUGGCAAAAGCUCCAGGUGUUUUCUUCAAGUUCUUCAAGACUAUCAUUUGUGCCAGCAUUGUUUAUUUAAAAUCCUGUUUUACAUGGUCACAUUCUCAUGCUAAAUUACUGAGAUUUCUAAAAUUCUAAUGACUUCAUUAAGCCAGGUACAUAAAAGGUGAUGGAUGUCUAAUAUUGGUCAAAGAAUAAGAAUAAGAGUUGUUACCUCAUGUUCAAAUGGGGCAAUCAAAUGUAUUUUGUUCAACAAAGUAGAAAGAAAAGAACACUGAAUCAGUGAAAUGAAAGUUAUUUUUCCUUGCU